ensembl:snRNA U6 U6 spliceosomal RNA
CUGCUUCAGCAGCACAUACGCUAAAGUUGAAAUCACACAGAAAAGGUAAGCAUGGCCCUUUUACCAAAGAUGACAGGAAAACUCAUGAAGUCUGCCAUAUUUUU